GGGCCCGCACAAGCGGUGGAGCAUGUGGUUUAAUUCGAUGAUACGCGAGGAACCUUACCAGGGCUUAAAUGUAGUAUGACCGGUCUAGAAAUAGACCUUCUCUUCGGAGCAGAUUACAAGGUGCUGCAUGGUUGUCGUCAGCUCGUGCCGUGAGGUGUUAGGUUAAGUCCUGCAACGAGCGCAACCCCUAUUCUUAGUUGCCAGCGGUUCGGCCGGGGACUCUAAGAAGACUGCCAGCGCAAGCUGAGAGGAAGGUGGGGAUGACGUCAAAUCAUCACGGCCCUUACGUCCUGGGCUACACACGUGCUACAAUGGUAUCUACAACAGGAAGCAAGACUGCGAAGUUAAGCA
rnacentral:rRNA from 1 species